CAGUAGCCACGGUAAAACGUAGGUGGCAAGCGUUGUCCGGAAUUAUUGGGCGUAAAGGGCUCGCAGGCGGUUUCUUAAGUCUGAUGUGAAAGCCCCCGGCUCAACCGGGGAGGGUCAUUGGAAACUGGGAAACUUGAGUGCAGAAGAGGAGAGUGGAAUUCCACGUGUAGCGGUGAAAUGCGUAGAGAUGUGGAGGAACACCAGUGGCGAAGGCGACUCUCUGGUCUGUAACUGACGCUGAGGAGCGAAAGCGUGGGGAGCGAACAGGAUUAGAGACCCCCGUAGUCCCUGUCUCUUAUAC
rnacentral:rRNA from 1 species